rnacentral:rRNA from 1 species
CUGGCGGCGUGCCUAACACAUGCAAGUCGAGCGAGGAGAUUCCUCGGGAUGAUCCUAGCGGCGGACGGGUGAGUAACACGUGGGCAACCUGCCUCAUAGAGAGGAAUAGCCUUCCGAAAGGGAGAUUAAUACCUCAUAACAUUGCAGUUUCGCAUGAAACAGCAAUUAAAGGAGCAAUCCGCUAUGAGAUGGGCCCCGCGGCGCAUUAGCUAGUUGGUGAGGUAACGGCUCACCAAGGCGACGAUGCGUAGCCGACCUGAGAGGGUGAUCGGCCACAUUGGGACUGAGACACGGCCCAGACUCCUACGGGAGGCAGCAGUGGGGAAUAUUGCACAAUGGGGGAAACCCUGAUGCAAGCAACGCCGCGUGAGUGAUGACGGCCUUCGGGUUGUAAAGCUCUGUCUUCAGGGACGAUAAUGACGGUACCUGAGGAGGAAGCCACGGCUAACUACGUGCCAGCAGCGGC